UGUAUUUUUUCGCUCUCUUAUAAUGUUUGUACACAGAGAGAGAGAGAGAGAGAGAGAGAGAGAGAGAGAGAGAGAGAGAGAGAGAGAGAGACGGAGGUAGGAGUGUAAUAUUAUCAACAAGCGGGUAAUAUUUCAUGUGUUCUUAUAUUCCUACUUCGCUCACUUGAUUGCACGGCUUUGAGAGGGUCGCGCGGAGUAGUUCUUUUGUUGUGUAGUGACUGAGGAGACGCGUCAUUCUUGUUCGGCGUCGAGGUGUUGCGUCAAUCGAUCAUUUACGACGUGGUGUGUUGUUGUUCUCUCGUCCUGAAGGUCAUGACUCCGGGGACGGGCUCUGUUUAACCGUGUACCAGCGACGGGCCACAUUUUUUUUCUCUCUUUUUACAGCUAAGGAGACAGUUCAAGGGCGUAAAGAAAAAAAAAAAGCCCGCUACUUACUGCUCCUGAAUAGAGGUCAAAGAAUAUAAACCCCCAAAAUAGAGGAUGCAUAAAGUGAUCACAAAUGCGUUGAUAUAUAUUAUGAAAAGGUUUGCGUGAGUGGUGAUUUUUUUCUCAUUAUUCUCGCUUAGAGGGACCUUUAAGAAACAUGAUCCCUGCAGCUACCAGGUUAAGCGCGUCUGUUUAUUAGUCUAUGUAUCCUGGGAAACGGAAGAAGGUAAAGAGUAGCAGCUGUGGACUUGUUGGCUCUCGUCUUGAGGGUCAUGACUCCGGGUGAGCGUCUGCUUAUGUUUUUUUUUUUACAACAAAGGAGACAGCUCAAGGGCACAAAAAAAGGAAACAAUAAUAAAAAAAGCCCGCUAAAAAUGUGUUCAUCCUUUUCUCACGUAAGAUUUUAGAUGCCAUAAAGUAUUAGUUCUUUCAUUUAACUAUCAGAUUAAAUUCAGACGAAAUAAGUUACAUAAGUUUCAAAGCGCAGGUGGGACUUAGGGUGGGCUGUGUAUAGCCGUGUGUUUAUUUAGCAACCCUUUGCCUCCUAUCAGACUUUAGAUUGAAAAGAGUUCUUCCAUCUUUUCGUGCUGAGAAAUUAAAAGCUUGUCUCUCCUCCGUGUAUUUAUUUAGCAACCCUGCGCCUCCUGUAAAACUUUAGAAUGAAAAGAGUUCUUCCAUCUUUUCGUGCUGAGAAAUUGAAAGCUUGUCUCUCCUCAUUUAGUGAUCUGUGUGUGUGCCACGUAACAAUGUCAGAUUGAAAAGAGUUCUUCCAUCUUUUCGUGCUGAGAAAUUAAAAGCUUCUCUCCUCAUUUAGUGAUAUGUGUGUGUGCCACGUAACAAUGUCAGAUUGAAAAGAGUUCUUCCAUCUUUUCGUGCUGAGAAAUUAAAAGCUUCUCUCCCCAUUUAGUGAUCUGUGUGUGCCACGUAACAAGGCAAAAAGUCGCGGCUCUCCUGUCUUUUUGAACUAUCAAAGUCUCUCAGACAAAGUAACCAGUCAUUUUAGUUUCAUUACGCGAGUGGGAGGAAAUGUCAGGUAUUAAAAUUCUACUACCAUUGUUAUCGCAGUUGUUCUCCGGGGCAAUUAAAAAGUCCUUUUGACACUAUGAAAGUAAUUCUUUAAUGUUGUACCAAAGGGUCUCUCCAGUAAAGGUCACAAAAGACGUCACAGAAAAAAGUAUUAAAUAGGUAUAAAUAUGUCUGCAGCCAGUGGCGGAAUCUUGAUUGGGUAGAUGUGUCGUAAACUUAAUGCGACUCUUUGUUGAUUGAAAAUGGAGUACAUGAAAGCGAUUGUAUACACGGACAAGAAGACUCGAUGAAGUGUUCUGAUUUCAUAACCUGGGAAGAGGAAAUGAAGAUGUUAGAAGCGUAUAGACGAAAUGUUAACGUGUUGAGCUUAACCCGGUAGCAGCGGGGAUCAUGUUUCUUAAAGCCCCCUCUGAGCCAGAAAAAUGAGAAAAAUCAUCACUCACACAAACCAUUUCAUAAUAUAUAUCAAAGCAUUUGUGAUCAGUUUAUGUAUCAUCUAUUUUUUGGGGGUUAAAUCAUGGCACAAAAUUUGGCCCGUCGCUGCUACACGGUAAAGCCACAAAUUUGGCCCGUCGCUGCUACAUGGUAAAGCCACAAAUUUGGCCCGUCGCUGCUACACGGUAAAGCCACAAAUUUGGCCCGUCGCUGCUACACGGUAAAGCCACAAAUUUGGCCCGUCGCUGCUACACGGUUAAAGGUUGAUAUAAAUGGAAAGGUUUGAGUUGAAAAGAAAUACAAGAAAAUGAAAGUAUACAUAGACUCGAUGAUUCAGAGAAUGUCUGAAUUUCUUAACAUCGGAAGAGGGAAUGAGGCUGUUGAAAGGUAAAGAAUAUGUUGAGAUAAAAGAUGGAAAUAAAAGAAAAGAUUUGAGUUGAAAAAAAAUACAAGAAAGGGAUCAUAUACAUAGACUGGAGGAUUCAAGGAAGUGUCGGUGUAUCUUAACAGGAAGAGGAAAUGAGGCUGUUGGAAUCGUAUAAACAGAUGCAGAAUAUACUGAGUUUAAAGGUGGAAAGAAAAGGAAAGACUUGGGUUGAAAAGACAUACAUAGAGUGGAGGAUUCAAGGAAGUUGUGGUGUAUCUUAACAUAGGAAGAAAUGAAGCCGUUAGAAGCAUUCAAACAGAUUGCGGGAGUCUUGAGCUUAAGGGCGUCGACAUAAAGAAAGAUUGUGAGAAGAGCGGCAUGAUGUAGAAGGGAAAGUACGCGUUGAUAAAGUCUAUGGAUAAUGAUGCUGUUGGAAGCGUAGACGGAAUAAUCGAGGGUGUUGAUCUUAAAAGCAGAAAUAAAAAAAAGAUGAAGAUGUGUGGCAAGAUGUAGAGGAGAAAAAAAAGGAAUAUUGAAGAAGUACACACAAAAAUGAAGGUGCUGGAAGUGUAUAUAUGGGAAUGAAAUGUUGAAUGUAAAGAUGGAAAUAAAAGGCAAGGUUCUCGAAUAGUGAAGCAAGUUGUAAAGGAGAAAAGUAAAUACGGACACAGUAGAGAAUAAAAAAAUAACAGACGCCUUAAGGGAUGAAAGGAAGGAAGUCCAAGAGGGAAGACAGAGAUGAAAGGAAAGAUUCUAAAAAGGAAGCAAGACGUAACGAAGGAGAGGGAAAGAUAAGAGAUAGAAAGAUACAGAAAUAUACAGAAAGAUAACUUCCAGGCACAUCGAGGAUUGAAAGAAAGAGAGCUCGAGGAGGAAGUUGUAUAGAUAAAAGGAAAUACAUGUUCAGAAAACGUAGAAAGUUGCAGAAAAGGGGGUUGAAGAUAAAAUUUGAAGUGUAAUAUUAGAAAUGCAGACAUAUGUAUUGAUAGAUUAAAUGAACCCUGAGCAUCAAUAGUAUAAAAAAAGGUUAAUUAAGAGAUGUAUAAAAAUGGAGAGUAUAAAAAAGGAGAUCCCAAGAAGUGUGUGAUAUAAAUAGGUAUAGAAAGGAGGGCAAGGCUUUGACGGAUAAAAAAAAAAGCUUGAGGAUAAAUAAAUAAAAGGAAAAGUUGAAGAAAGUGAAAAUAUAAAUGUUGAAAAAUAUAAAAAAAAGUAGAUAUUACGAGAAGUGUGUGAUAUAAAUAAUUAUAAUAGGUAUAUAAAGGAGGGCAAGGCUUUGACGGAUAAAAAAAAAGCCCGAGAAUAAAUAAAUAAAAUGAAAAGUUGAGGAAAGUGAAAAUAUAAAAGCAGAAAAAUAUAUAAAAAAAGGAAAUAUUACGAGAAGUGUGUGAUAAAAAUAAUUGGUAUAUAAUGGAGGGCAAGGCUUUGACAGAUGAAAAAAAAAGCCUGAGAAUAACUAUAUAAAAGGAAAAGUUGAAGAAAGUGAAAAUAAAGGAGUAGAAAAAUAUAAACAAGGAGAUAUUACGAGAAGUGUGUGAUAUAGAGAGGGACAUAUUUUUUUAUAGUGAGAGCAAGGCUUCGAUAGAUGAAAAAAAAAGUUCAGAGAGGGAUGAAAAUAGAAAAAUAGAAAAAAUAUCCAAGAAGUGGCUGAUAAAAAGUAUUUGAUAGAAAGGGAAUUAGUUAGUAUUUAAUGAUAAUGGACCAAAGAAAAUGAUUAUAGGAAAGAAAAAAAUAGAUGUUGGAAGCGAUUGCAAGAGAAAAUAUUAACGCUUAGAGGUCACGAGGAUAGAAAAAAUAAAAAAGUGAUUAACAGAAGGGCAAGUAGAAGUAGAGAAUGGUUCAAAGAAGAUAGCGUAAAGAAAAAAAAAGAUAGAUAUUGGGAGCGAUUGCAAGAGAAAAUAUCAACGCUUAGAGGUCACGAGGAUAGAAAAAAUAAAAAAGUGAUUAACAGAAGGGCAAGUAGAAGUAGAGAAUGGUUCAAAGAAGAUAGCGUAAAGAAAAAAAAAGAUAGAUAUUGGAAGCGAUUGUAAAGGAGAAUAUUAACGCUUUGAGCUCACGAUGAAAGAAAAAAAUGAAAAAGUGAUUAAUAGAAGGGCAAGGAGAAGUAGAGAAUGGAUCAAAAAAGAUAGCGGAAAGAAAAAAAAGGUAGAUAUUGGAAGCGAUUGUAAAGGAGAAUAUUAACGCUUUGAGCUCACUAUGAAAGAAAAAAAUGAAAAAGUGAUUAAUAGAAAGGCAAGUAAGAGUAGAGAAUGGUUCAAAGAUAACGGAAAGAAAAAAGAUAUAUAUUGGAAGCGAUUCAAAAAGAAAAUGUUAACGCUUAGAGGUCACAAGGAUAGAAAAAAAAUGAAAAAGUGAUUAAUAGAAGGGCAAGUAGAAGCAGAAAAGGGUUAAAAAAAGACUGCGAAAAGAAAAAAAAGAUAGAUAAUGGAAGCGAUUGCAAGAGAAAAUAUUAACGCUUAGAGGUCACGAGGAUAGAAAAAAAAAAAACAGUGAUUAAUAGAAGGGCAAGUAGUAGAGAAUGGAUCAAAGAUAGCGGAAAGAAAAAAAAAAGAUAGAUAUUGGAAGCGAUUGUAAAGGAGAAUAUUAACGCUUUGAGCUCACGAGGACGGAAAAAAAUAAGCUUUGUCAGAAUAAAGGUUUCCCAGAAGAGGACUAAAGAGGAUGAUAUGGAUGAACAGUUAUAAAGUGUAAGAGUUAUAUCAUAGGCGAUACAGAAAGGGCACAAACAUAUUGAAGUAAAAAAAAAUAUGAACAGUUCCAAUGCCAGCGUUGAUAGACUAUACUAUUCACCUCCUUGUAUUUAUAAUUAUAAGGGUCGUAUUCAUAAACAUAAAUUUGACAAGGCCUUCGUAGGAGUUUGGGGCAUUUCCAGGGGUAGUUUUAUGACCUGGAUGUUAGUUUGGCCCUUCUUCUCUACCGUGAACCUAAGGAAACACUCAUUAGAACCCGAUUACUCUCCUUUUUGACCUCUGGAAAUAGUCGUUAUAAGAGUCAAAAGCGCCUAAGAAUGCCAGCCUGAGCCUCAAACUCUCGUAUACCUGCACAGAUAACGAAAGAAAAAUUAUUUAUUGAUGUUUGUUCGUUGUUUUGCUUUAGUUAUCGGUCAGAAACUACGAAAAUGCAUUGCGAUGAGACUAUGAAAAUGCAAUGCGCUGAGUACGAUAAUUUGACAACGCUGAACAGUUCCACCUUUUCUUCACUUCGCAAGGUUGCCAUUAUUUCUUAACCUCGCCCUUUCCCACGUCGUCCAGAACACCUUCAUUGCUUAUUUUGCAUCCCAGGUGUUUGGAGACGAAGAGAACGGGCUUAGCGGACGCAGAGACGAGGAUCUGAAUAAGACAUUGCAGGGAGAGUCCGUUCUUGUGAAUGCGUGAGAAUUGACAGACGUUUGAAAAAAAAAUAGGAACGUGAGUGCAAAGAUAAAAGAAAAAUGUCAUGUAACGAGUAGAAAGGUGUUAACAGGUGUAGAGAAACGGAUCGGGAGAGCAAUUACAAAGGAGGAUACACGAGAAAUGGCAGAUAUAUAAAACGAUCUAAGAGGAACGCGAGUGAGUGCAGAAAUAAAUGAAAAUAUAAAAGUUCCGGUAGCAGAAUUUUUUUUUUGUCAUGGAACGAGUAGACAGGAAAACAGUAAAAAGGUGUUGGCAGGUGUAGCAGAGAAAAAGAUCUGGAAAACAAAUUAACAAAUAGGAUACGUGAGGAAAGGCGAAUGUUGAAAAAGGUAAAAGGAACGAGAGUGUGUGCAAAAAUAAAAUGAAAUAUAUAGUGUCAUGUAGGAGAAAGGUGUUUACAAGAUAAGAGGAUCUGAGUAAUACAUUAUAAAGAGAUAGUUGGUCUUUGGGACGCUUGGGGAGAGACAGGUGAUUAAAAACAAGGUAAAGAGAAGGGGAGGUAAGUUCACACCGGCCGCUUCGCGCAGGGGUGACGUCACGUGAAAGAAAUUUGUGGUAUAUGGUCGGCUGCCGGCCGCCAUAUUGGUACGGCAAAUAUUAGCGCGGACGUCUAAAGAAACGUGUGUAAUUUAAAGUUAAAGAGAAUGACAGGUAGCCUGGUCUGUACUCAGUGAUGGAGAACUAAGGUUGGCGACCAACAUCUAAUUUUAUACCAGUGUUUAUUCCUUUUACGGCAUGUGACGACUACACACAAAGCCAACAGAAUCUGCUCGAGAAUAAGAUAUGUUUUAAUAUUUUUUAUAUCACAUUUCCAUCCAUUUCAUUCUAAGUUCUUGAUCUCUUGGCAGCCGAUGAAACCGUAUAUUACUGUUUCCUUUCACAGAAACUGAUUGACAACCGCGCACAAUACAAAAACUUGGCAUAUUGAGAGAAAACACACUUUAGCUAAGUUUCCCAUUGAGUGAGUGAGGAGCUCAGGUCAAGAGGCUGGUGCACGCGAGACUGACCUCUCUUCUAUGCCCGGACCCCUCAGUCCUUCUUUCACCUGACGUCAUGCGCAGAAGAGACAAAUUUAGGCACCUCCCCCCCCCCCCCAUGGUGAACCUACCUUCCAUUCUCUUUACCUUGCUUAAAAAAAGAAAGGAAAAGACAAAAAGAACGCGAGUGAGUGCUGAAAUUAAUGAAGAAAAAAAUAUAGCGUCAGUUAGUAGAAAGGUGUUUAAAAGAGAAGAGAAUCUGAAUAAUAGAUUACAAAGAGAUAGCUGUUCCUGAGGACGCGUGGGGAGAGACAGUUGUUUAAAAAGAGAAAGCAACAUGAGUGACGGCAAAAAGAAUAAGGGAAAAGGUUUGAGGGAAAGAGUAGAAGGGAAAUGACAGGAAAAGAAAAGGAAUGGAAUUACAAGUUACAAAGAGAUAACAGUCAGAGUGUAAGUGAUGAAAAUAAUGUCGGGGAACGAGUAGACGGGUGUUGACCUUUCGGGAGUAAACUAGACAUAAAGAAAUAAAAUAGACAAGUGGAAGGUCGAUGACAAAAGGAUAAAGAAACGUCUUCUUUCUAACACCUCUCCUUAUUCCUUUCUCAACCUCAUCCAUCAUUCCUUUUCCUCCUACUCCUUUUCACCAUCUUCGCCUUCUUCUCAUCCUCCUCUGCUCCUUCUUCCUCUCCAUCAUUCUUUUCUUUUCCUCCCUCCUUCCCUCCUUUACCUUUCUACUUCCUUUUCAUCAUUUGCGCCUUUUUCUCAUCCUUCUCUCCACUUUUCUUCUCAUUCCCUCACUCCCUUUCUCCUUUCCUUUCCCACGCUUUUCUCAAUACUCUUCCUCUCAUUACUAAAGCAAGAUCUAAGUGGCUAAGUGUCCCGACAAAGUGGACGAAGGUGUAAAAGAGAUAAUUACAGGUGUUGAGAAAGCAGGUGAGGUGGUUGUUCUUAAAUGUUGCUGAGAAUACGCGAGGCUUUAAAAUAUAGUCGCGUGGAAAUGUCACGAAAAAAAAAAAAAGAAAUGUGGGACUAGAGUACAAGGUGAGGUAUUGCAGGAAGAGGAAGUAGAGCCGUCGAAAUGUUAAAAGAACUAAUUAGGGUUUAAAAACGAAGAAAAAUCGAAACCUCACGAAAUAAAAGGAAUGGUAAUGUGAGACUAGAGUACUAGGGGAGGUAUUGCAGGAAGAGGAAGUAGAGUCGUCGAAAUGUUAAUUAAAGGGAUGAUUUGAGUUGAAAAAUGCAGAAUUAUCGAAAGGUCACGAAAUAAAAGGAAUGAAAAUGUGGGAAUUGAGUGCAAGGGGGAGAUAUUGCAGGAAGAGGAAGUAGAGUUGUCAAAAUGUUAGGUAAGGGAUUGAUUUGAGUUGAAAAAUGUAGAAUUAUCGAAAGCUCACGAGAUAAAAGGAAUGGUAAUGUGGGAAUUGAAUGCAAGGGGAGUUAUUGCAAGAAGAGGAAGUAGAGUUGUCAAAAUGUUAGGUAAGGGAUUGAUUUGAGUUGAAAAAUGUAGAAUUAUCGAAAGCUCACGAGGUAAAAGGAAUGAAAAUGUGGGACUAGAGUACAAGGGGAGGUAAUGCAAAAAAGAGGAAGUAGAGUUGUCAAAAUGUUAGGUAAUGGACUGAUUUGAGUUGAAAAAUGCAGAAUUAUCGAAAGGUCACGAGAUAAAUGGAAUGGUAAUGUGGGAACUGAAGGCAAGGGGAGUUAUUGCAAGAAGAGGAAGUAGAGUCGUCGAAAUAUUAAGUAAAGGGCUGAUUUGAGUUGAAAAAUGUAGAAUUAUCGAAAGCGCACGAAAUAAAAGGAAUGAAAAUGUGAGACUAGAGUGCAAGGGGGAAUUAUUGCAAAAAGAGGAAGCAGCGUUGUCAAAAUGUAAAGUAAAGGGAUGAUUUAAGUUGAAAAUAGAGACUUAUCGAAAGGUCACGAAAUAAGUAAUUGAAAUGUGGGAAUGAGUACAAGAUGAGGUACUGAAAAAAGAGAAAGUAGAGUAGUCCAAAUGUUAAUUACAAGACUAAAUCGAGUUGAAAAAUGUAGAAUCAUCACGAAAUAAAAGGGGAAUUGGGUGCGGAGUGAGGUACUGAGGUACUGCAGUAAAAUGUUCCUCUUAUCCGAACUGGUAGCGUACUGGGCCCACAUUCACCGCGUGAUGGACGACGCGGGUUCGAAUCCCCACGCUACCACUCGGAUUUUUCAGUCACAGCCGAGUGGCUUAAAACUACCCACAUGCUGUCCUGAAGACCACCCAUCAACCCGGACUCUAGAGGAAGCCGUCCAAGCGAAUCAAGAACGAGUUCCGGGGGGCAGCAUGAGCCAAUGCAAGAUGGCGCCACUAUAAACACUCGCCUGCGCCAGAACGGGCUGGGCCGACCAUCAGGCCCCACCUGGAAGAAGCCUUGGGCCGACCAUCAGGCCCCACCAGGAAGAUGCCUACUGGCGCAACAGGCAACGACGUAAAAAAAAAAAAAAAAAAAAAAAAAUCCAGAAG